UCCCGAGCGUUNUCCGGAUUUAUUGGGCGUAAAGCGAGCGCAGGCGGUUAGAUAAGUCUGAAGUUAAAGGCUGUGGCUUAACCAUAGUACGCUUUGGAAACUGUUUAACUUGAGUGCAGAAGGGGAGAGUGGAAUUCCAUGUGUAGCGGUGAAAUGCGUAGAUAUAUGGAGGAACACCGGUGGCGAAAGCGGCUCUCUGGUCUGUAACUGACGCUGAGGCUCGAAAGCGUGGGGAGCGAACGGGAUUAGAUACCCUGGUAGUCCACGCCGUAAACGAUGAGUGCUAGGUGUUAGGCCCUUUCCGGGGCUUAGUGCCGCAGCUAACGCAUUAAGCACUCCGCCUGGGGAGUACGACCGCAAGGUUGAAACUCAAAGGAAUUGACGGGGGCCCGCACAAGCGGUGGAGCAUGUGGUUUAAUUCGAAGCAACGCGAAGAACCUUACCAGGUCUUGACAUCCCGAUGCCCGCUCUAGAGAUAGAGUUUUACUUCGGUACAUCGGUGACAGGUGGUGCAUGGUUGUCGUCAGCUCGUGUCGUGAGAUGUUGGGUUAAGUCCCGCAACGAGCGCAACCCUUAUUGUUAGUUGCCAUCAUUCAGUUGGGCACUCUAGCGAGACUGCCGGUAAUAAACCGGAGGAAGGUGGGGAUGACGUCAAAUCAUCAUGCCCCUUAUGACCUGGGCUACACACGUGCUACAAUGGCUGGUACAACGAGUCGCAAGUCGGUGACGGCAAGCUAAUCUCUUAAAGCCAGUCUCAGUUCGGAUUGUAGGCUGCAACUCGCCUACAUGAAGUCGGAAUCGCUAGUAAUCGCGGAUCAGCACGCCGCGGUGAAUACGUUCCCGGGCCUUGUACACACCGCCCGUCACACCACGAGAGUUUGUAACACCCGAAGUCGGUGAGGUAACCUUUUAGGAGCCAGCCGCCUAAGGUGGGAUA
rnacentral:rRNA from 1 species